rnacentral:rRNA from 1 species
AUUGAACGCUGGCGGCAUGCUUUACACAUGCAAGUCGAACGGUAACAGGCCUUCGGGUGCUGACGAGUGGCGAACGGGCGAGUAAUGCAUCGGAACGUGCCCAGGGGUGGGGGAUAACGCAGCGAAAGCUGUGCUAAUACCGCAUGUGAUCUGAGGAUGAAAGCGGGGGACCAGGCAGCAAUGUUUGGCCUCGCGCCUUUGGAGCGGCCGAUGUCAGAUUAGGUAGUUGGUGGGGUAAAGGCCUACCAAGCCGACGAUCUGUAGCUGGUCUGAGAGGACGACCAGCCACACUGGGACUGAGACACGGCCCAGACUCCUACGGGAGGCAGCAGUGGGGAAUUUUGGACAAUGGGCGCAAGCCUGAUCCAGCAAUGCCGCGUGCGGGAAGAAGGCCUUCGGGUUGUAAACCGCUUUUGUACGGAACGAAAAGGCUCUGGCUAAUACCUGGGGCUGAUGACGGUACCGUAAGAAUAAGCACCGGCUAACUACGUG